rnacentral:rRNA from 1 species
GAAAUGCGAUAAGUAAUGUGAAUUGCAGAAUUCAGUGAAUCAUCGAAUCUUUGAACGCACCUUGCGCUCCUUGGUAUUCUGAGGAGCAUGCCUGUUUGAGUGUCAUUAAUAUUAUCAACCUCUUUAAGUUUUUUUACUUGUUGAGUGUUGGAUGUGGGGGUUUCUUUCUCUGCUGGUCUUUUUACGAGGUCAGCUCCCCUAAAAUACAUUAGCGGAACAAUUUGACCGUUUAUUGGUGUGAUAACUAAUCUACGCUAUUGACGGACAGUUCAGCUUCUAAUAGUCCAUUGACUUGGACAAUUUUCAUUAAUGUGACCUCAAAUCAGGUAGGACUACCCGCUGAACUUAA